rnacentral:rRNA from 1 species
UACAGAGGUCCCGAGCGUUGUUCGGAUUCAUUGGGCGUAAAGGGUGCGUAGGCGGUCUGCUAAGUUUGAUGUGAAAUCCCGGGGCUCAACCCUGGAAUGGCCUUCGAGACUGCCGGUCUUGAGUUCGAGAGAGGUGGGUGGAAUUCCGAGUGUAGAGGUGAAAUUCGUAGAUAUUCGGAGGAACACCAGUGGCGAAGGCGGCCCACUGGCUCGACACUGACGCUG